rnacentral:rRNA from 1 species
UACGUAGGGGCCGAGCGUUGUCCGGAGUUACUGGGCGUAAAGCGCGCGCAGGCGGCUCGUCAAGCCUGACGUGAAAGCCUCCGGCUCAACCGGGGAGGGUCGUCGGGGACUGGCGGGCUUGAGGUCGGCAGGGGUUGGUGGAAUUCCCGGUGUAGUGGUGAAAUGCGUAGAGAUCGGGAGGAACACCCGUGGCGAAGGCGGCCAACUGGGCCGGACCUGACGCUGAGGCGCGAAGGCGUGGGGAGCGAACGGG